rfam:Paenibacillus sp. HGF7 contig00013, whole genome shotgun sequence.
UUCUUGCUUUCGCUGAAUUUCCCCAUCCGGGGAAGCGGGGGAACCAUCGCAGCAUUGAUCCGGUGUGAGAGCCGGAGCCGUGUCUGCAGGGGUGAAUCCUGAAGCGCCGGAACCCAUGGACCCGGCAAUCAGGUAGGGCGACUCUCACCGCCCGAAUCCGACAGCUAACCUCGUAAGCGCAUGAGUUCGGGAGG